rnacentral:ribozyme from 1 species
UUUCUCUUUUUCUAUAUAAUUCCCUUUGUAAUUUUUCUUUCUUUCUUUCUUUUUUUCUUACUAAAAAUUAAAAAAAGGCACGGGGA